AUACUUUACUAUGAUUGCAAUGAACUCAGUGUAGAUCGGUUUUGUCACUGUGCUGAGAAUGCGUGAAUAUCGGCAAAUUAUUAUAUGGGAUACUUUAUAAUGAUUUGCUCCAAACUACCGUGAGGUAUAUUAGGAUAUUAGGAAAAUCCUUAAAGAUAAGCGUAUGUACUGAGAGCAAAUGUAGUUAAAAGCUGCUAUCUUGUCGUUGAUGUAAUAGAGAGUUACACUGUAAUGCUUAACCCUGAUGCCUGUAGACUGGUAAUCUAUAGGAGAUAAGUAGGGGAGUACCAAAAUAAGUCAAUUUGCCGUGAUGAUCUGGAAACGGAUUGUAUAAGACAAGUCAAGUGAUUGAGUAGCCCAAGGCAGUAGAAGAACAAGGUAUAUAAAGAGAACAUCAAAUUAUACAAGUAAGUUUGAGGUUGAUUAAUUCUGAAUGACGGGUGAAAGAUGUUCGUAACCAAUCGAACCGAUACAGAGACAGGUGUAUUCCUGUUGGUGAAAAAGUAUAUGGAUGACGGUUUAUAUGCUCAGAUUUCAUUAUAUUGUGGCUGAAUAUGAGUGCGUUUGUGGAGGCAAUCCGAAGGGAUUAUUGCUAUCAUAAUAAAGU
rnacentral:sRNA from 12 species